rnacentral:misc_RNA from 1 species
AUGCCCAGUUAAACCGAUCGUAAAAGUAGCAAAAUACCUAACCAGUGACAGCUAUAAUUAAUCAACUACUCAUGAAGCUUGUGUAUCGUCGUGAAACUUGCUCGACGAAACAUAACCUCCUUAUCAAUCCUCGAGAAAACUAGAUAAAAACGACUAAGAGCGAGUCACGAAGGGAAAACUGGAGAUUUCUCGAACCAACGAAGGAAACUACAUUUCAAAUGAAUAAAUGAAUAACAUUGGCAACCGGAAGGGGUGCAAGGAAGCGACAAAACCUUGCUUUCCAGUUCCGACGUAUUACGGGUAUCGAGGAUGGAGGAGGCACAGACGGGGCUGGCGUACAAAGCAG